UACGUAGGGCGCGAGCGUUGUCCGGAAUUAUUGGGCGUAAAGAGCUCGUAGGCGGCCUGUUGCGUCUGCUGUGAAAUCCCGGGGCUUAACCCCGGGCGUGCAGUGGAUACGGGCAAGCUAGAAUUCGGUAGGGGAGACUGGAAUUCCUGGUGUAGCGGUGAAAUGCGCAGAUAUCAGGAGGAACACCGGUGGCGAAGGCGGGUCUCUGGGCCGAUAUUGACGCUGAGGAGCGAAAGCGUGGGGAGCAAACAGG
rnacentral:rRNA from 1 species